GACGAACGCUGGCGGCGUGCCUAAUACAUGCAAGUAGAACGCACAGUUUAUACCGUAGCUUGCUACACCAUAAACUGUGAGUUGCGAACGGGUGAGUAACGCGUAGGUAACCUGCCUGGUAGCGGGGGAUAACUAUUGGAAACGAUAGCUAAUACCGCAUAAUAUUGAUUAUUGCAUGAUAAUUGAUUGAAAGAUGCUAUUGCAUCACUACCAGAUGGACCUGCGUUGUAUUAGCUAGUAGGUGAGGUAACGGCUCACCUAGGCGACGAUACAUAGCCGACCUGAGAGGGUGAUCGGCCACACUGGGACUGAGACACGGCCCAGACUCCUACGGGAGGCAGCAGUAGGGAAUCUUCGGCAAUGGACGAAAGUCUUACCGGGCAACGCCGCGUGAGUGAAGAAGGUUUUCGGAUCGUAAAGCUCUGUUGUAAGAGAAGAACGGGUGUGAGAGUGGAAAGUUCACACUGUGACGGUAUCUUACCAGAAAGGGACGGCUAGCUACGUG
rnacentral:rRNA from 1 species